UACGUAGGGUGCAAGCGUUAAUCGGAAUUACUGGGCGUAAAGGGUGCGUAGGCGGCGCGGUAAGUCGGGUGUGAAAUCUCGGAGCUUAACUCCGAAACUGCAUUCGAUACUGCCGUGCUUGAGGACUGGAGAGGAGACUGGAAUUUACGGUGUAGCGGUGAAAUGCGUAGAUAUCGUAAGGAAGACCAGUGGCGAAGGCGGGUCUCUGGACAGUUCCUGACGCUGAGGCACGAAGGUCAGGGGAGCGAACGGG
rnacentral:rRNA from 1 species